rnacentral:misc_RNA from 1 species
GAUGAAGAACGUAGCGAAAUGCGAAACUUGGUGUGAAUUGCAGAAUCCCGUGAACCAUCGAGUCUUUGAACGCAAGUUGCGCCCGAAGCCAUUAGGCCGAGGGCACGCCUGCCUGGGCGUCACACGUCGUUGCCCCCCCAUCUAAUCCUUCGGGAUUGCGGGGGGCGGAUGAUGGCCUCCCGUGCGCCUCGUCGCGCGGUUGGCAUAAAUGCCAAGUCCUCGGCGACGCACGCCACGACAAUCGGUGGUUGCGAAACCUCGGUUGCCCGUCGUGUGCGGUCGUCGCGCAUCGAGGGCUCGAAAAAAUUGCCGGGCUCCGGCUCGGCUUUCAACGCGACCCCAGGUCAGGCGGGGUUACCCGCUGAAUUUAAGCAUAUCAAUAAGCGGAGGA